rnacentral:rRNA from 1 species
GUCGAACGAUGAUCCCAGCUUGCUGGGGGAUUAGUGGCGAACGGGUGAGUAACACGUGAGUAACCUGCCCUUGACUCUGGGAUAAGCCUGGGAAACUGGGUCUAAUACCGGAUACGACCAUCUGGCGCAUGUCAUGGUGGUGGAAAGCUUUUGUGGUUUUGGAUGGACUCGCGGCCUAUCAGCUUGUUGGUGGGGUAAUGGCCUACCAAGGCGACGACGGGUAGCCGGCCUGAGAGGGUGACCGGCCACACUGGGACUGAGACACGGCCCAGACUCCUACGGGAGGCAGCAGUGGGGAAUAUUGCACAAUGGGCGCAAGCCUGAUGCAGCGACGCCGCGUGAGGGAUGACGGCCUUCGGGUUGUAAACCUCUUUCAGUAGGGAAGAAGCGAAAGUGACGGUACCUGCAGAAGAAGCGCCGGCUAACUACGUGCCAGCAGCCGCGGUAAUACGUAGGGCGCAAGCGUUAUCCGGAAUUAUUGGGCGUAAAGAGCUCGUAGGCGGUUUGUCGCGUCUGCUGUGAAAGACCGGGGCUCAACUCCGGUUCUGCAGUGGGUACGGGCAGACUAGAGUGCAGUAGGGGAGACUGGAAUUCCUGGUGUAGCGGUGAAAUGCGCAGAUAUCAGGAGGAACACCGAUGGCGAAGGCAGGUCUCUGGGCUGUAACUGACGCUGAGGAGCGAAAGCAUGGGGAGCGAACAGGAUUAGAUACCCUGGUAGUCCAUGCCGUAAACGUUGGGCACUAGGUGUGGGGGACAUUCCACGUUUUCCGCGCCGUAGCUAACGCAUUAAGUGCCCCGCCUGGGGAGUACGGCCGCAAGGCUAAAACUCAAAGGAAUUGACGGGGGCCCGCACAAGCGGCGGAGCAUGCGGAUUAAUUCGAUGCAACGCGAAGAACCUUACCAAGGCUUGACAUGAAUCGGUAAUACCUGGAAACAGGUGCCCCGCUUGCGGUCGGUUU